rnacentral:lncRNA from 1 species
GCCUCCUUUGACCAAAGCCACGCCCAUUGUGGGCGUGACCAAACAACACCCCGCCCCCUCGUUUAGAGACAGCGCGGAAAAGGGGGUGUGGUUACGCCGAGCCCCGCCCCCAAGGUGGGCGUGGCUACCCCAAAUCCCGCCUCCAUCGCAGCGCGCUGUACUCGGGAGCGCCCCCUGGCGGCGCGGCGCACAGCAGCAGCGAUUUCCGAGCGGCCGUUCCGAGACGCGCGGCGCUCAGCAGCGCCCCCAGCGGUAACGGAGUGGAACUGCGCGGGCACAGCGCGACGGCGGCGGCGUGGAACAGCGGGGGGGGCCCCGGAUACACCAGGAAGUCGCCCCCGAAUUUGCCGCCGGCGUGAGGUGCAGCCCCCGCCCCCACAGGUCGCGGUACACCCGGAAACGGCGCUCCCGGUGCGCUUCCGCUUCCGGUCCCUCUGCCUCCACCUCCGGUCUGUCAGACCUCACUUCCGGUCCCUCCGUUCCAACCUCCGGCCUCUCCGUUUCCGGUCCUUUACCUUCAACUUCCGGUCUCUCGGCUUCCAGUCCCUCGGGUUUCACUUCCGGUUCUUCAGUAUCAGCUUCCUGUCCCUCAUUAUCAACUUCCGGUCCCUCCGUUUCCACUCCCUCAGCCCCCGCCGUCGUUCCGCACAGCCUCGGCCUUUUGCUUUCCACAUCCGCUCCCUCCGCUCCCACUUCCGGUCCGUCUCUAUCCUGUCCCUCCUCUCCCACUUCCGGCCCGCGGCUCCGCGGCCUUUUCGCGCCCGCUUCCGGUCUCCCCGUUUCCGGUUCCGGUUCCAGCCGCGCCGCCCCGAGCUCCGCCAGCAGCCGCCCCUCCUCCGGCAGCAGUUGCAGCGGCAGCCGCCGUCCCCCCCCGCGCCGCGACGGGGCGCCCACCAAAGCUCCCCACAUCCGGUACCGCUCCCGCAACGUCCGCACCGCUUCCGCCGCCCACACCAACACGCGGUCCCGGUGCACGUGGAGCCGGAGCGGGGGCUCCGCGUCCGUCAUUCCCGCGUCCCGAGCGGCGCUGCGGUGGGCGGAGCUUCUCG